UCCCUGGUGGUCCAGUCGUUAGGACUCUGCACUUCCACUGCUGGGGAUGCAGGUUCAAUCCCUGGCCUGGGAA
rfam:TPA: Bos taurus chromosome 3, whole genome shotgun sequence.